CGCCGCCGCAGCCGCCACCGCAGUGCCGCGUAGGGAUUGUGCUGCCGUGACCGGGUCUCCCCCCACCACACUUGCUGAUGAGAUCGGACGAAAAUGAAGCUCGUUGGUUGCCUGAAAGAUUGGUGUGGUGUAUGGAGCAGAGAGAUGCUGGUCCUGAUGUUGCUGAUGACCAUCCAGAAACACCAGCAAGAAACCUAUUGGGCCUAUGUUCCUGAUCCACCAAUUUUACAUUCCGCAACUUGGGAAGGAAAAGAAAUUGUGGUCCCAAUUAAUGAUACAAGGCAUUUAGAUCGACCUGUCACCCAAGAGUUCCAGAUUGCUCACAGUUUUUCUUAUAUUGGAUAUGGUAAAGGGGUUCCUGUAUAUUUUGCAAAAGUAUAUUACUUUGUUUUUAUUUGUUUGUUUUGUU